rnacentral:lncRNA from 1 species
GCUUCAUCUGUUCUAAUUUAAGGUUUUGUGAUUCUCCAAACCAGACAUUUCAAUAUAACUCAUCUUUCAUAACAGCAAUACACACACACAUGUGCACAAACACACACAUGCAAACGCACACACAUGUUUCUAUGUAAAUAGUUACCUUGUAAAGUGUUUUGAAAUUUGUUCUUUUCUACAGGGACUAAUAUACAAGGCUUGACAGGUAAAACUGGAAGAGGUGUAAUAAAGGGACAGUUCAGGACACAAUCAAGCAAUCUCCCUGACACUGAUACAGAGCACUUCCCAAAUGCUGUUGGAAGAAGUAUGCUAAAGAGUGAUAUCAAGACACAAUCCAAGAGUCAUCCUGGUAAAAGAGUGAAUUUAUUUAAAGACAAAGAUAAGUCCACACAACAUCAAACAGAGUUUUUUACUGGGCACAUCGCAGGAAGUAAAUUCCCAAUGAACGUGAUCAAUUUUUCACAAGUUGACAAUCAAGAUUUACUUAAAGGCAAAAAUGCAAUUUUACAGCAAGAAAAUGUCUAUGCCAGGCACGUUGCACCAAGUAAAUAUAAAACAAAGAUAAUUACUUUAUCACCCUUUGAUGAUGAAGGUAAAAAUUUAUAUAUAAAGAUAUUAAAACACUGUAUAAUUACAUAGAAUAGUUC